rnacentral:lncRNA from 1 species
AAAUGGAAAGAUUAAGUGCAUAAGGUGAAAUAAAAUGUACCAACCCAUGUGUGUUGACCAAAUGACAUUGAAAGUCAAAGUCAAACAAUGAGAAACUAGAAAUGGGAUGAAGAUUGGAGGUCAAAUAAUAAGCAAAAUAUUUUUUGGCAUUUUUAAUAUUAAAAUAAACUUGAAUUAAAAAUAAAAGAAAGGUCAAACUUCAAAAUCACUUCAAAUUAACCUUGAAAGGUC